GCGCUCGUAGCUCAGCUGGGUAGGGUAACUGGCUUCAAACCAGUGCAUCGGGCGUUCGAAUCUCUCCGGGCGCGCCA
rnacentral:tRNA from 1 species